GGGGAUGUGGCUCAGGGCUAGAGCAUUUGCUUGGCAUACAGAAGGUCCCAGGUUCAAUCCCCGGCAUCUCCA
rnacentral:tRNA from 1 species